CCUACGGGUGGCAGCAGUGGGGAAUAUUGCACAAUGGGCGAAAGCCUGAUGCAGCAAUGCCGCGUGAGUGAUGAAGGCCUUCGGGUCGUAAAGCUCUUUGCUCAAGGAAGAUAAUGACGGGAUUCGAGGAGGAAGCGCCGGCUCACCACGUGACAGCAGCCGCGGGAACACGCGGGGGGCUAGCGUGAUCCGGAAUUACUGGGCGAAAAGGGGGCGUACGUGGGUUCUUAAGACAGAGGUGAAAGGCUACGGCUAAACCGUAGUAAGCCUUUGAAACUGGGGAGCUUGAGUGCAGGAGAGGAGAAUGGAAUUCCUAGUGUAGCGGUGAAAUGCGUAGAUAUUAGGAGGAACACCAGUUGCGAAGGCGGCUAUCUGGACUGUAACUGACGCUGAGGCACGAAAGCGUGGGGAGCAAACAGGAUUAGAUACCCGGGUAGUC
rnacentral:rRNA from 1 species